rnacentral:rRNA from 1 species
UACAGAGGUGGCAAGCGUUGUUCGGAAUUACUGGGCGUAAAGGGCGCGUAGGCGGUCUUCUAAGUCUUGUGUGAAAUCCCUCGGCUCAACUGAGGAACUGCACGGGAUACUGGAAGACUUGAGUUCGGGAGAGGGAAGCGGAAUUCCGGGUGUAGCGGUGAAAUGCGUAGAUAUCCGGAGGAACACCGGUGGCGAAGGCGGCUUCCUGGACCGAUCACUGACGCUGAGGCGCGAAAGCGAGGGGAGCAAACGGG